AUCCUUGAAGGGAUCCUUGUGGGUCCCUUCCAGCUUAGGAUAUUCUAUGAUUCUGUGAACUGUUUUGCCAGUGGUGGUUGUUCCUCAUGUCCCUGUAACAUGUGCCCAGUGCCUGCCCAUGACCCACUGGGUUCCUUAGUCCUUAGAAUCUCCAAAGCUGGUGUGAUUGCAAGCAUUGCACCUGGAAGAGGGGUAGUGGCUUGGAAGUAGGUGGGUAACAAUGCCAGCUGGAGUAUUUUCUUCCAGAUAGCAGUGAAUUCUCUGCAGGAUGUCCACGCAGCACAACAGCCAGCGGGCAAUUUAGCAACUCUCUGGUGGGGGGGGUCCCCUUUGCCACCCUCCCAAAGGUGUCGCCAGGGCCCACUGGCAUCCCAAAGGCCAGGCUCUGUUUCCCCAAACAUGACAGUCAGAGCAUGCCCAUGCACAGAGACAUCUGCAAAACUCAGCAAAAUUCCUGCUGGGAGCAGCCUACUUUCAGAAUCCUCUUGCACUGUUCGUAUCAAUGAAGUUUAUUGUUCCUCUGCAAGUCCUUUGGGUACCGAGGGCGUCCACAGAAGGAGCAACAUGGAAGGCAGGGGUGUGAGCCAGGCUGCUGUUUGCAGGCUUCCAGAACGUGUGCUCUGGGAGCCAUGGGAGAAUUGAGGUGGGAGAGAGCAGGCAUCCAUGGCUGUGAGGGGCUCUCCUGGUGCCACAUUCCAGGAGGAGGGCCUCACAUCCCAGCAGGGUGCCCAUGUCCUGGUGGGGGUCCCAGGGGGUGCCCAGGGGAGGAAGAUUUCAAUAUUCCCCUCCAAGGCACAGCAGUGGGAGCAGCAGGCUUCAAAAAGUGCCUACCCAGGUCCUCUCCAGCUCCGCCUCAGCCUUCAUCACCUGCUGGCCGGGUGGAAAGAGCCUUUGUGACAUCCCAGAGCCUUGUGCCACAGCAGCCUGUGACAACACAUUGGCUACACCUGCAAACACGUUCCAGCAGGGCGACCCCUCAAUCCAGGUGGCCGCUGCCCGAGCUCUGCUCUGGGUCACAGCAUGUUGAGGUGGUUUCCUCAAUGAGACCUCAAUGAGGCUCCUCCUGGUGCUGUCCCUGGCCUUGGUGCUCUGGAGCCUGUCUCUGUCACCCACUGCCGCCAAGAGGGUCAGGGUCAAGACAGCCAUCAUUCCUAAGGGCCCAAAAAAACCAUCCCUUGUCACAGGGAGCGCAGCCUCUGACCUGCCCUACCCUCUGGGCCAGCUUUGGGUCUACCUUGCCUGGGGGGACAUGCCCCGUCUGCUCUGCAGGAACUGGGAAAUCAUGGGGGUGAUUGGUGUGGCUUUUAUUAUACUUCGCAUCUGCAGAAAUGUGCGGGAACCCCAGAGUCAGGCGAGCACUCAAGAGCAGUCAUACAGGAAGAGACAGGUGCAGGGAAGGGAACAGGCAGCUUCACAGUCCGUGAGGACAGGCCGCCGGGCAGAACGCACCUUUAGCCAUGCCCAAUUUUACAAGAUGAUGAGGGCUGAAACCAUGCUGCUGCUCAGGACCACCAGGUCUGUGCAUCGCCUUUACCUGCAACAGCUACGGCACGAGUACUACCAAAGGAAGGUAGCAGAAAGAUUUCGGAAGAGCAGGACCUUCCCCAGAUCCCCUGGUCCCAGCUCCAGCUAGAGCCAGCGCUUGGCCAUUGGCAAUGGAACGGCAGCGGAACAGGAGAGACAUUCCAUCCCUUCAUGACCCUUCGAUGGACUCUCACCAGUAGCUCCUGUACUGGAGAGCCCAGAACUGGACACAGCAUGCAGGUGUGGCCUCACCCAAGCAGAAGGGAAGGAUCACCUCUCUCAACAUGCCAGCAACACUUCCCUAAAGAAGCCCAGGAUACCCUUAGCUCUCUGCUGCAAGGGCACAUUGCAGGCUAACCCGGACCCUCACAGCCUUCUCUGAAGAGGUGUUCCAGAUGGGCGGCCCCAGCACGUACUGGUGCAUGUGAUUGUUCUUUCCCAAGUGCAGGACUUUGCAAUUCCCUUUGUUGAACAUCAAAAAGUUUCUGUCAACAGAUUUCUCCAUCAUGCAGAUCUUCAGUGAAGAUGUUUAAUUGCCUGGACCUACUGUGGACCCCUGCCUACACCACUGAUCACCACGCUGUUGGGAUCAGCCUUUCAGCCCAUUUUCCAUCUAUCUCUAGGCUCAUCCAGCCCAUACAUCAACAGCUUCACUAUGAGGAUGUUACAGGGGACCAUAUCAAAAGCCUGACACAAGUCAGGGUAGACAACAUGCCCUGCUUUUCCCUCAUCUACCAAGCCAGUCAUUUCUUCUGAGGGAGUUAUCACAUCAUUUAGGCAGGACUUCCCCUCUGUGAACCCAUGCUGACAUCAAGUGGUUCACCACAAAAUUAUUUACUCCUUUGCUAAAAACAGCCUCACCCUUGCCUGACACCCCACUAGUGCUAAUGCCACCCUGCCUGUGAGGUCUUUUGAUGAAAUCCACUUGACUGUCAUCUCUUCAAGAUACUUACUGGGAAGGGCUGAACUUGUCCCCCUCCCUGCUAUCCUGAGAGCACAGAGGGGUUCCACAAAACCCCCAGGCACAUGUGCACCAGGACUUGCUGAGAAAUGGCUGGCCAGCCAAAAGCCAGAGCCACUGCCUCCAGCACCUCCUUCUUCACCAAAGCAGCAGUCUGUGCCAGCAGCUUUGCUCCAGGUUUGGCUUUGACUUGCACAACUAAGACAACGUUGGCCAAGUCUGCUUGCAUUCUGGGACCGCAGUCAGCAACAUGCAGUACCAAACAGGAGACAAUAAACACCAGCAUCCAUUUA